rnacentral:misc_RNA from 1 species
UGGGCUUGUGCAAUGCAUUUGAAUAAAAGAGUUUGUAUGUUCACCUCUAGGCUGGAGUUAAUAAAUGAUGUUUGAUCUUGAUACAUGUCAUCCCCGAGGGCUAGUUAUUGGGAGUUCCCCAUCCCAUUUGUUGAAGAGGGGGUACAAAUUGAAUAGGGUUCGAGAACAUCCUAGACGGUCUGUUCUUAGAUGAUGUAUGAUAAUGGAUUGGAUCCUCUUCUAUCAGGUGUAGGA